CUGCGCGCCCCACGGCGCUGGACUACGGCUCCCGGCAUGCCUCGCAGAGCGCUCCUAUCUUUGCUCUCCGGGCGACGCGCAGCUCGCACGGAGGUUUUCAGGAAGGAGCCGUAUGAGUGUGACACAGGACCCCCAGAUCCUCUGCAGAGCUGCUCUCAAGUGCCACUCCUUCCAGCCUGAAUGGAUGCCUGGGAUUCCCACCCACUGCUAGAGCAGGUUCCCUGUGGCAGGUUGCAGUCGGCUCUUGGCUGUCUCCGGGGGAGUAGACGCCGCGACAUCUCUGGACAGGGUGUCCCAGGUCUCUGGCACUCUUGUGGUAAAGAAGUUCUUCCUUGCCUUUAUAUGGAAUUUCCCAUGCUGCAGUUUGUACCCAUUGCCCCUUGUCCUGUCACCGCACACCUCUUUGAAUCAUAGAAUCAUAGAGUCCUUAGAGUUGGAGGGGAUCUCUGAAGGCCAUCCAGUCCAGCCCCCCACUGAUGAAUAGGAACACCACAGCUAGAUCAGGUUGCCCAGGGCCUGGUGCAGCCUCGCUUGCAAGUCCCCAGGGACAUCCACCACAUCUCUGGACAGCCUGUUGCAGUGCCUCACCACCCUCACUGCAAAAUACGUUUCUUUAUAUGUAACCUAAAUCUACCCUCUGAGUUUGAAGCCAUUUCCUCUUUUUCUGUCACUACAGACCCUGCUAAAGAGUUUGUCCCCUUCUUUCCUGUAGCUCCCCUUCAGAUACUGAGGCUGCAAUCUGGUCACCUCACGGCCUUCUCUCCAGGCUGCACAGCCCCAGCUCUAUCAGCCCGUCCUCAUAGGAGAAGUGUUCCGUCCCUGGGAUCAUUUCUGUGGCCCUCUGGACACAUACCAAGAAGUCCAUUUCUCUCCUGUACUGAGGACUCCACAGCUGGAUGCAGUGCUUCAGGCUGAACAGUCCCGAGAUGCUCAGCCUUUCCUCAUACAGGAGAUGAUCCCCAUCUUUUUUGAACCGAGAAGCCCAGGACUGGACAUGAUAUUCCAGAUGUGGCCUCCCCAGGGCAGAGCAGAGGGGCAGAGACCCUCCCUGGACCUGCUGGCUCCCCACUUGUAAUGUACUCCUGGAUACCUUUAGUCUUCUUGACCAUGAAGGCACAUUGCUGACUCGUGGGCAACUUGUUGGCCACCAGGACACCCAGGUCCUUCUCAACAGACAUCUUUUCCAGCAGCCUAGCCCCUAACCUGUGCUGAUGCAUGCAGGUAUUCCUCCCAGGUGCAGGAUCCUACACUUGCCCUCGUUGAACCUCCUGAUGUUCCUCUCUGCCUGUCUGCUCUGUGCGGCUCUCACCAAACGGCAGCACAGCCUUCUGCUGUGUCAGUCACUCCUCCUAUCGUCAGUAAACUUGCUGAGAGUGGACGCUGCCCCUUCACCCAGAUCAUUCAUGAAGAUGCUGAACAAGUCUGGACCCAGCACCACCCCCUGAGGGGCACCACUUGCUGUAGGCCUCCAAUUGGACUCUUCACCGCUCUGAGCUCUAUCUGUCCUCCAGUUCUCAGUUUACCUCACUCUAUCCCACACUUCCUAAGCUUACCGACAAGGAAGUUAUGGAAAACAGUGUUGAAAGCUUUGUCGACGGUUUUUGCCAAAACCUCAUUUUAAGCAGCAAAACCACAUUUUUGCUCGUAUUCCUUUUACUGGUGACAUACUUCCAGAAGCUUUACUUUUUAUCCUUGACUUCUCCCACCGUAUUUCAUUCUAAGUGG